rnacentral:rRNA from 1 species
AGUGAACGCUGGCGGUAGGCCUAACACAUGCAAGUCGAACGGCAGCACAGUAAGAGCUUGCUCUUACGGGUGGCGAGUGGCGGACGGGUGAGGAGUACAUCGGAAUCUACUUUUUCGUGGGGGAUAACGUAGGGAAACUUACGCUAAUACCGCAUACGACCUACGGGUGAAAGCAGGGGAUCUUCGGACCUUGCGCGAUUGAAUGAGCCGAUGUCGGAUUAGCUAGUUGGCGGGGUAAAGGCCCACCAAGGCGACGAUCCGUAGCUGGUCUGAGAGGGUGAUCAGCCACACUGGAACUGAGACACGGUCCAGACUCCUACGGGAGGCAGCAGUGGGGAAUAUUGGACAAUGGGCGCAAGCCUGAUCCAGCCAUACCGCGUGGGUGAAGAAGGCCUUCGGGUUGUAAAGCCCUUUUGUUGGGAAAGAAAAGCAGCAGGUUAAUACCCCGCUGUUCUGACGGUACCCAAAGAAUAAGCACCGGCUAACUUCGUG